rnacentral:misc_RNA from 1 species
UCCUGGUUAACCCAGGCAGUCUUGUUAGAGUUCCCGACAUAAUCGUUGGCAACUAACAAUAAGGGUUGCGCUCGUUGCGGGACUUAACCCAACACCUCACGGCACGAGCUGACGACAGCCAUGCAGCACCUAUAUAGAGGUCCUUACGGAAGACGCCAUUUCUGGCGUUGUCCUCUACACUUCGAGCCUGGGUAAGGUUCUUCGCGUUGCAUCGAAUUAAACCACAUGCUCCACUGCUUGUGCGGGCCCCCGUCAAUUCUUUUGAGUUUCACCCUUGCGAGCGUACUUCCCAGGCGGCAUACUUAACGCGUUAGCUCCGACACAAUCAGGGUUGAAUCUGAUUACGCCUAGUAUGCAUCGUUUACAGCGUGGACUAC